CAGCCCCACUCACCCCACAGAAUGUUUGUUGUGGGGGAGGAAGGGAAAGGAGAAUGUUAACUGCUUUGAGACUCCUUCGGGUAGUGAUAAAGCAGGAUAUAAAAUCCAAACUCUUCUUCUUCUUCUUCUUUCCCUUCCUCCUCCACAACAAACACUCUGUGAGGUGAGUGGGGCUG